rnacentral:rRNA from 1 species
UGGGGAUUCUUAGACAAUGGGCGCAAGCCUGAUCUAGCCAUGCCGCGUGAGUGAUGAAGGCCUUAGGGUHGUAAAGCUCUUUCGCCUGUGAUGAUAAUGACAGUAGCAGGUAAAGAAACCCCGGCUAACUCCGUGACAACAGCCGCGGUAAUACGSAGGGGGUUAGCGUUGUUCGGAAUUASUGGGYGUAAAGYGCACGUAGGCGGAUUGGAAAGUUGGGGGUGAAAUCCCGGGGYUCAACCCCGGAACUGCCUCCAAAACUAUCAGUCUAGAGUUCGAGAGAGGUGAGUGGAAUUCCAAGUGUAGAGGUGAAAUUUGUAGAUAUUUGGAGGAACACCAGUGGCGAAGGCGGCUCACUGGCUUGAUACUGGCUCUUAGGUGAGAAAGUGUGGGGAGCAAACAGGAUUAGAUACCCUGGUAGUCCACACUGUAAACGAUGAAUGCCAGUCGUCGGGCAGUAU